ACCCAGGUCCGUUCCCAGCUUCAACGUCAAGGUGGCGGCCAGUCCGCAUCUCAAUUUCACGGCCAACUCUCGCUAUCGCAGAACCAAAACCAAAUCACGCGCGCCGCUACCCCCCGCUCUGUUUUCUCUGAGAUGCGGAGUUGCCCAUUCGCCGGGUCCAACUCCAGGAGAAGAAAGAGGGAAGCAGAUGGGAUCGUGGGACGGACUUGGAAGGGAUCAAGGGAGCGCUGCGCGGGGGUUUCAGGCCCUCUUCAUCCGUCAGAAAUUAGUCCGUAUGCUGCUGCAGAAGGAAGUGAAACUGCGAGUUCUGCCUCAGUAGUGGCGGUGGCUCCACAUCUGAAGGGUCGAUGUCAAGCAUCAGUCGUGCUAUAUCAUCCAAGGAUAUAGAAAAAAAAAGGAGGGAUCUUCACCUCUUCAGUUGUUCUAGAGCACCACUGCUCCAGUUCCUGUAAGCCAGCCUUUAAGAACUCCCCAUUGCUAAAAGAGCAGCAUUCCCGACGAAGUAGCAAACUAAACAAAAACAAAAAGGUAGAGGCAUGGUACAGUCCAGAAUCAACCAUGUAAAUUCAGUCAAGAAUAGUUAAGAAAUGGUACAGUAUAUAGUAAUACCUGUUGAAGAGUUGCACAUUCAAAUAUGCAUAUACUUGACUAAAUGUUUUCUUGAUUAUCAUUGGAGGUACCUACAUACAAAAUUAAAAUUGAAUUCAGUAAUUCAUUUCUGUAGUUCCUUAACUGUAAGGUAGCUGAAAAAUAUUAAGAUUGGACUCACAUGGU